GAAGUAUUAUGCACAAGAUCAAAGUAAAAUUUACAGAGGACACAGAAUGAAAGCAAUUCAGCUCCAAAAUAUUUACUAUCUUAUGCCAAUAGCAUUGGUCACACAAUUUUACUUUCUUCUUCCUUUCUUAAGUUAUGUUCUUUUCAUAUUACUAAUAAUAACAGCAGAAGCAACAACUACUUAAAGUCUUCACAAUCAAUCUGUUAACAUAGCCCUUAGUUGAAUUCAGACCUUCUUAAGUAGAAAUAUGAUCUAUAUAUGAAGCACGAGUACUCCAAAAAUGUUGCCGUACAAGUACCGGGUACUUCCCGGGUGCGGGUACGCCUAUCGAUACGGCUGCACGCGUACCGGGUACGUCAAAAACGCACUCGGUACGUUUUAUACGGUCAGUAUACCGAUGGAUACGCCGCAUGUACGCCAUGGGUACGUUUUGAGUACUCUGGGAUAAAAAAAUGAGAUUUUUUAUAAAUUAAAGGGUACCAGAGCAAUUUUUUAUAUCUAUUUUAAAGAAUUAUAAAAAUCUGAGGUUUUUUUUGUAAUAAAUGAAACAUGAAACCAAAUAAAAUUAGGAUUCUUAAUAAAUAAAACAUGAAACCAAAUAAAAUUAGGGUUCUUUAUUCUCUCUAUCAUUCGUUCAUCUCAGCUCCUUCCAUAUCUCAUUCCGAAAUUCUCCAAGGCUGAAGAACUUCGAAGGUGCUAGGUUUCCAUGUCUAUUCGAUCAUCUCCUUCCAGAAAUACUCCCAAGAGAGUCUGAAGAACACUUCGAAGGUGCAAUUGAAAGGUUUAAUCGAAGGUGCUGCUGAUUGAUUCUCUCAUUCGAAGGUGCGAUUGAAGAGGUCAAUAUGGGAGUCCGAUUGAAAGGUGUUGUAGUGUCCUUGUUCUUGUCAUACUUGUCACUGAAACAGUGCAUAAUAUGUCAAAGUAAGAUUUCACAAAUAUUAUAAAAAAAUAUCUUGUCAUAUUUGUCUUUUA